CUUUGAUCAUAAGUACAAGGAUUAUAUAUGUUUUGCUGGUUCGCUUACCCUGGUUCCAGAGGCUCUUUGCAAGGCGAAAUAAACGAGAGGCGAGAAGGAAGAGCCUCCGGUCACAUUGGUUGCAAAUUCCACUUCCACACUUGGUUAGGUUCAGAAUUUCAAUCUCCCAUGUGAUUGGCCAUUUGUAAAAAUAUGUCAAACCGGUUUGGGAAAUAAACAAGGUAAUUAUAGCUAUAAUUAGCUUACAGUAAUGUUGUUUCGCCUCGCAAAGAGCCUCUG